UGUAAAACCAGAAUGUUGGAAAGGAGCCGACGUUAUGGAGGCUUUCCAGUUUCUCAUCUGUUUCCCAGCUUCUUACCGCUAGGGAACAAUCCGAGCAGAUUUGGGAAGCUUUGGAAGCUUUGGGGCUUUCCGUUCAGAAAGGAUCAGCUGGAAAGGAAUUACCAAGCGAGUGCAGAUCAUGAACAUGAAUAUGCAUCAGGAGAUGCCGUGAAAGAGAAGGAAACAGAAGGCAGUUUCUUGAACAUUUAAUGUAAAUCAUUUGUUAUAUGGAGACUGUGCCAUAAAUGUCAGCCAGUCGCAGUUUGGGCAUUUGUGAGGAUCAGUAACAGUGUUCUCUUGGCACUCUGCGUGAGUGCCAAGCACUUGGAUUUAUGGGAGUGAAGAAUCAACCCACCACCCCUCAACCAGGAGCCUCUCUGCACCUCAGCUCACCUGGGAGAUGUUCCAGGUGGCAACUGAGCUGCUUGCCCUCCAUCCAGAAUAGGAAAUCUGUUCCCUAACAGAAAUAGGUCUGUUGGACUAACUGAAUAUUUUCACCAUAGCCAUCGGAUCUAAUUGUAGGUGUGUGUGUGUGUGUGUGUGUGUGUGUGUGUGUGUACGUGCAUGAGC